CUUGACCGAGCCGAGCCAGAGCGGCUCGUUGUCGGCGCGCUCCUGACCGUAUGUGUUGAUCAGUGCCUGGGCCUC
rnacentral:antisense_RNA from 1 species